AGAACCGGACUCUCUUGAACAGGGACUCUCUUGAACAAUAACCUUCUGAUCUUUGGAGCUGACAGGAAACCCGAUGAUUUCCUGAGUUCUGUAAUGGAUACAACAUGCAAAGUGUCAGCCACUGGAUGGGAAACCUCUAGCCCUUCCCAUCCCAGACCCUUUUCAGCCAACUGGAGACAUAGGAAAGAAGCUGCCUUGACCAGACCAUCCUUGACCAUCCUGGAGGACCUGAGCAGCAGGAGAGACUUUGCUUGAAGAUGCCGGCAAGGUAUGUGAACAUAUGCCAAGCCAAAUAAAUUGAUGGAACCACCCUGGCAUCCAUGUUGGAUCAAGAGCUGAGACACAAACUUCAUAUAAAGAACCAGCUACACCUAUUGAAG